UGUACAGUAUCUCAGUUGGUAGAGAAUUGAACUAGCAAACCAAAGGUCGAGGUUCCGAUUCCUGCGGUUAAG